rnacentral:rRNA from 1 species
GCGUACACGGUGGAUGCCCUGGCAGUCAGAGGCGAUGAAGGACGUGCUAAUCUGCGAUAAGCGCCGGUAAGGUGAUAUGAACCGUUAUAACCGGCGAUUUCCGAAUGGGGAAACCCAGUGUGAUUCGUCACACUAUCAUUAACUGAAUCCAUAGGUUAAUGAGGCGAACCGGGGGAACUGAAACAUCUAAGUACCCCGAGGAAAAGAAAUCAACCGAGAUUCCCCCAGUAGCGGCGAGCGAACGGGGAGGAGCCCAGAGCCUGAAUCAGCAUGUGUGUUAGUGGAAGCGUCUGGAAAGGCGCGCGAUACAGGGUGACAGCCCCGUACACAAAAGCGCAUGUGCUGUGAGCUCGAUGAGUAGGGCGGGACACGUGGUAUCCUGUCUGAAUAUGGGGGGACCAUCCUCCAAGGCUAAAUACUCCUGACUGACCGAUAGUGAACCAGUACCGUGAGGGAAAGGCGAAAAGAACCCCGGCGAGGGGAGUGAAAAAGAACCUGAAACCGUGUACGUACAAGCAGUGGGAGCAC